CGUUACGAACGUGACUCAAUACAUUAAAUAGAUUCCUAUCAGAUAAGUAAACUGUUGAUGCUUGCUUAUGGCUUGCUUUCGGGUAGGUCAUUGGGUAAGUGGAAGUUUACCUGAUAGUUUGUCAACUGUCAAAGGUUGGCUUUGAUCUGCUUAAUGAGACAAAUUGUGUUUAGCAAAAUGAGAUUGAGCAAUAACAGGUCCGUGAUGCCCUUAGAUGUCCUGGGUUGCACGCGCGCUACAAUGAGACCAUCAACGUGAUACCUGAUCUGAAAGGAUUGGGAAAUCACUUAAAUGUGCUCUUAGUUGGGAUUGUGGAUUGUAAUUAUUCACAUGAACCUGGAAUUCCCAGUAAAUGCUAGUCAUCAGCUAGCGUUGACUAAGUCCCUGCCCUUUGUACACACCGCCCGUCGCUAUUACCGAUUGGUUAUUUAGUGAGGUCUCCGGAGGUAAUCGCCGAAGAUGCUUAGGUAUCAUUAGGUUGUUUUGCCAAAGUUGACCGAACUUGAUGAUUGAGAGGAAAUAAAAGUCGUAACAAGGUUUCCGUAGGUGAACCUGCGGAAGGAUCAUUA
rnacentral:rRNA from 2 species